CGCCCCCCGCCCCGCCCCCUGUCCCCAGGCGGGCGCAGAAGGGGCUGGGCAGUUCUGCGGCGAAACGCGUCAGGUGCAGGGGGCCUGUGGCUCCGGGGAUUUCUGGGGGGGCGGGGUUUCCACCCUCUGCGGGCUGCACACCUAACCCCAGAAGGUCAGGGACUGAAAGCCAAUCACAGAAGGCCCAGGGGCCUUGGUGGGAGAAAGAAACGAACAGCGAUCAGUUCGUUGGGGAUGGAAUCCGACGAUCAGUUCGUUAACAUGAAGCGGCGGCCUGUCACGCCCCUCAUGCCAUGAUGCUUCUGCCUUGGUCCCGUUCCAGCUUCCACAAUACGGGCUUCGGGACCUGCCCUCGACCGUGACGCCCUGAGGGCCAAACGCUUUACGUGGUAGCUAUUGAAGGCUUUCACAGUUGGCUCUUUGCAGGCGCGUAAGGCUGUGGUCCACAGACCCGUGUUUUACCGGCAGGAGGAGGACGAUCCCUGCUCUAUGCUGUCAGGUUGUGUUCUUGCUUGUUUUGUUUCAGGCAGGUGAGGAGAGGGGACAGGAGUGAGACUGUCCUCUCUCUGUCUCCUAUGAAAAAUGGCAUGUUCGCCUCCUGGAAAGCUUUAUGAAGUUUGAAAUAUUAGUCAGCCGCCAGGUGACAUUCAUCAGGCACGGCGGGACCGAAGUGAGACAGUGGGGGUGCCCGGGCCACCAACAUGCUGAAAGGCCACGUUGCUGGCCUGCUUCCCACACAAAAGCUGUGCCGUGGAUGAUCAAUAACAUCCUGAUUGGGGAGGAAGUUCUGGCAUCGAGCCUCCCGAGGAAGGAGGAGGCGGACACAGAGCAAAUGAUGAUUCUUUCCUGAUAGAAUUCUCCCCGAGUAAAUCUUCCUUCCCAUUUAUUAGCCAACCGUCUGUGACAGGUGGGUCAGGAGGGAGAGGAGAGAUGUGUGAUUAAAUUCUGCUUUUCUGGCAACAUCGAA